rnacentral:rRNA from 1 species
AUGAACGCUGGCGGCGUGCCUAAUACAUGCAAGUCGAGCGAACGGACGAGAAGCUUGCUUCUCUGAUGUUAGCGGCGGACGGGUGAGUAACACGUUGAUAACCUACCUAUAAGACUGGGAUAACUUCGGGAAACCGGAGCUAAUACCGGAUAAUAUUUUGAACCGCAUGGUUCAAAAGUUAAAGACGGUCUUGCUGUCACUUAUAGAUGGAUCCGCGCUGCAUUAGCUAGUUGGUAAGGUAACGGCUUACCAAGGCAACGAUGCAUAGCCGACCUGAGAGGGUGAUCGGCCACACUGGAACUGAGACACGGUCCAGACUCCUACGGGAGGCAGCAGUAGGGAAUCUUCCGCAAUGGGCGAAAGCCUGACGGAGCAACGCCGCGUGAGUGAUGAAGGUCUUCGGAUCGUAAAACUCUGUUAUUAGGGAAGAAUAUAUGUGUAAGUAACUGUGCACAUCUUGACGGUACCUAAUCAGAAAGCCACGGCUAACUACGUG